UCCAAAUGCUUUCAUACCAUACACACUAUAUGCAUUGAUAUGCCCUAUGUCUAAAUGCAUAUGUAGCUCAUAGUCUGUAUCCAUUUGUUUAGGUGCAUAUGCAGCAGUCAUAUACACUUGCAUAUUCUAAAAUAGAUUAAUUCAAUAUAUAGUCUAACACUUGCAUACGUAUCCAGAAGUAUUUGUGGAAGCCAUGUACAUGCGGACAUGCAUCAAGGUGUAUACCCAUAUCAGGUCCUUGGGAAGCCAUGUGAUUUCCCAGUACUGAGCUAUGGAAACCUCUCAUAUGGCUGCUUUAGAGGUGCGGUCUUCUACUGGGGAAGAAGAUAGCUAAUAAUGCCCGAGGAACUUUUCAUUUGAAUAUCGGUUCCUUGGUGAAAUUGGAUGGUUUAUGAUUUGAUUACAUAACCCAAGGGACAUGCAAGAAUAAUGUUUAGGACAAGUACAAUUCUGACCCUAAAAAUCACGUGACUUUGGGUCACAUAAUUUAGGAAAUUUACAUUUUUACAAGUCCCUUCCUUAUGCCAAUUUGGGGAUGCAAAUUAGGGCUCAAACUAGGACAGAUUUAACGGAAUCCCAGAAAAGGGAAUUCAGUGCAUCCAAACUAUAUAAGGGAGGAUCUCAGGGACUUACCUGUCAUUUUAAAAAAGGAGCUCAUCCAGUGGCUUCCCUUCCCCAGAUAAAGUAGUGGUACCUGAAGAUCUAAAGAUUGGGCAGCCAUGAUUUACUUUAUAUGGUUGCCCUUCAAGCAUGCAGAGGGUGUAAACACCUUAGCAUCCUGUACUUCUUCCCUCUUUGCUCCAUGUCUCCCUGGUGUGAGGUUUUGAGUUUCUAUUCCCUGUCAUUGUCAUAAGCCUUUAAUUCUCAUACCACUUUUUUUCUCUUCUUUGCCAUUGUAUGCUCUUUUGCUUAUUUAUUUCCCCUUUUGGUCAAUGUGCCAUUCAGUACAUCACACCCUGCACUACUAUCCCAAGCCAUUACUAGUCCUUUUUGCAUAGGAAAAGUGUCUGAACACCAAAAUUCACUGCAUGGCCCAAAUGCCUUAGGAAUGUCACACACCAUCAUCCCCUAGAUCAGUUUGAUUGCUCCAUCUGCAGCAUUACUAGAUCUACAUGGAUAGUUGGAAUCUCCGCUUGGGCCUCCUACACACAGGCGUUUUAUUAUGCAGUUUCUUGCAGUUGACCUUUCAUGGGUUCCACCACAAUAAACCACACAGACUGUUUUUAUCAAUGAGGUUGCACUCGCUCUGCCUCAGAGUGCAGGUUGAACUUGAUGUGUUCCACUUGGGUUUCAUGCUUCCCUGCGGCAGAGUGAGUGCAACCACAUCGCAUUUCUUCCUACAUUCAUCUGCAGUGGAAUGCAUCAAGGCUCCACCACAAGGGAACAUACGAAGUGUUGCCUGUGUGUAAGAGCCCUAAUAGGAAGCAGCUGGUGGAACGCAGGUUUGUUUUUAGAGCGCUAUAAACAGAAUAUUGGUAAAUUACCUGUGCACAUCCCCAAAAACAUGUGCUAUACAAAAUCCAUUUGUGUCUUAUAUGAUUUAACAGCUAAUCAUGUUUGCACUCUAAAUUAAUUGAUUAAAUGGCAUUUGUGCAUGGCUAAUGUAUCCUCUUUUUUUCACAUCUCACAGUCAGCAUGAGGAAUCCUGCAAAUAAACCUUCUCUUCUGCCUCAAACUGAAACAAUGCUGCUGGAAACCUGGCUUCAGGAGUGAAUGGAGACUGAAGGAAACAAUGCUGAGCUGAGGACAAGGUUUUUACAUUACAUGUUCCUGACCACACAAGUUGUGUUAAGGUGUGAAAUCAGUUGUAUUUGUGCUCCCUCAAGAAUACUGGUGUGCUAUGCAGAGAAUUGCAAAAGCCCUGUAUUGUACCACCAGAGGGCUUCGAAGCAUCAUGAGCCAGAGGGAUCUCGCAGUUUAUCUGAGGCACACUGACCAGAAGGAAUCCACCCCGGAUUUGAAGGAGAUUUCUCUUCACUCAGUGGGGCUCUGAGAACUGGGCUGACACGCAGAAAAGAACUGGACUGACACACAGAUCCUUUCGCACAGCUGGCGGAACCGCCACUCGUGAUAUGAAGAAUAUUUCAGAUUCUAUAUCAAGAUAAAUAGGAAACACUUUUUUGGUCCGUUUUUUUUUUUUUUGCCUCGCUUUAAAAGAGCAGUUGUUGUUUUCUCUCAGCAGUCAUUAAUAUUUAUUAGUACUGCCUUUAUUGUCCAGCAAACUGUCAAACUUAUAGAUCUUCAGCUGUUGUAAACUACCAUUCCCAUCAUCCUCAUCUAAGCAUGUUUAGGAGUGUUGUAUUGAUCUUGCAUAUGCAUUAGACUACUAUUAUAGAUUGUAAGCUCUUUUGGGCAGGGUCCUCUUCACCUCUUGUAUCAUUUAUUGUUUGGAUGUAAUUCUGUAUGUCUAAUGUAUAAACCCACUUAUUGUACAGCGCUGCGGAAUAUGUUUGUGCUUUAUAAAUACAUGUUAAUAAUAAUACUAUUCCCAGGAUCUCUAGUGAGGGAGGCAUUUUAUCUUAUGUCUUUUGUGGAAUGCAGGGAUGCCAAACUGGUCACUCACUAACUCAUUCUGACUGCCACCUCACUUAGUAUCUAGAAGGGUAUGCAAAAAUAUUAUAAUAAUAAUAUUGUGAAAAAAAUAUAAUAUUCUCUUAUAUAUUUAUCUCGCUGUGUGUGAGAAACUAUCACUCUGUGGCCAUUGUUUGGCAGUUCUUUGUCCUUUCCCAAUGAUCUUGCAGCAAGUGAUUUCAGAAUGUGCCCUCUUGGCACUGGUACAGAAGCACCUUACCACCACUGAUUUAUGAGAGGCACACCUGCCAGUCCCAAGUCAGAUUUGACCCUUUCAUCCUACAGGAAUGCUAUCUAUGUACAAUGUUGCAUACUUAGCCAUUUGUUUAGUUGUCUGCAGAGAUAUUUGGUAUAAUCUUAGUUAUUUAGGUUAUUUUCAUGUUUCCACAGUACAAAUAAAGGAGGGUUUCAGAGGUUAUUUUAUUAUUUUGCAACUAUUGAAAUAAAUCUGAAAUAAAAGCCAAAUGCUUAUUACAUUUUUAUGAAUUUAUUUGUUGUUCCUGAUUCCUAUUGUACUUUACAUUUUGUUAUUACUAAUAUACAGACCGAAAUAUAAAAUAACUGUCUGGUAGGAAAAUAGACAAAGGAGAUUGGGCAGUAAUGAUUUCUUUUCAUGCAGUACAAAGGAGAAGUAAACGUUUUAGGAAUCUCCAGCAAUCUCACAUUAUCCUAAUUCACAACACUGUGUUUCAUAAACCCUUUUCUAAUUAAAAAAUGUGAAUCCUG